rnacentral:rRNA from 1 species
UACGAAGGGGGCUAGCGUUGCUCGGAAUCACUGGGCGUAAAGCGCACGUAGGCGGAUUUUUAAGUCAGGGGUGAAAUCCCUCGGCUCAACCGGGGAACUGCGUCCGAUACUGGUGGGCUCGAAUCCGGGAGAGGGAUGUGGAAUUCCAGGUGUAGCGGUGAAAUGCGUAGAUAUCUGGAGGAACACCGGUGGCGAAGGCGGCAGUCCUGGACCGGUAGUGACGCUGAUGCGCGAAGCCAGGGGAGCAAAGCGGG